rnacentral:rRNA from 1 species
UGGGGAAUUUUGGACAAUGGGCGAAAGCCUGAUCCAGCAAUGCCGCGUGUGUGAAGAAGGCCUUCGGGUUGUAAAGCACUUUUGUCCGGAAAGAAAUCCUUGGCUCUAAUACAGUCGGGGGAUGACGGUACCGGAAGAAUAAGCACCGGCUAACUACGUGCCAGCAGCCGCGGUAAUACGUAGGGUGCAAGCGUUAAUCGGAAUUACUGGGCGUAAAGCGUGCGCAGGCGGUUUGCUAAGACCGAUGUGAAAUCCCCGGGCUCAACCUGGGAACUGCAUUGGUGACUGGCAGGCUAGAGUAUGGCAGAGGGGGGUAAAUAUCCACGUGUAGCAGUGAAAUGCGUAGAGAUGUGGAGGAAUACCGAUGGCGAAGGCAGCCCCCUGGGCCAAUACUGACGCUCAUGCACGAAAGCGUGGGGAGCAAACAGGAUUAGAUACCCUGGUAGUCCACGCCCUAAACGAUGUCAACUAGUUGUUGGGGAUUCAUUUCCUUAGUAACGUAGCUAACGCGUGAAGUUGACCGCCUGGGGAGUACGGUCGCAAGAUUAAAACUCAAAUGAAUUGACGGGGUCAUAGCUGUUUCCU